rnacentral:rRNA from 1 species
UUUAAAAAUUCAAAAGCGACGGGCAAUAUGUAUAUAUUUAAUAUAAAAAAUUUAAAAAUUAAAUUUUUAAAUUUUUAAUAUUAAAUCCAAUUUCAAAAUUUUUUUACAAAAAUAUUUUCAAAAAAUUUUUUUAAAAUUGUAUCUCAUAAAAAUUUAAUUAUAUAAUAUAUUAUGAUUUGAAAUAAAUUUAAAUAAAAUUUCAAAUAAUAAACUUUAACAAUUACUUUAACAACAAUAUAUAAUUUAAUUAAAAUAAAUAAAUUAUAUUGUGUACUAUCAAUUAAAAAACAAGAUCCUCUAAUUUUAUUAAAUACUACCAGAUUAUUUAAUUUUAUUAAAUUUAUAAUAAUAAUAAUAAUAAAAUAUUAAAAAAUAAUAAUA